AGAGUUUGAUCAUGGCUCAGAUUGAACGCUGGCGGCAGGCCUAACACAUGCAAGUCGAACGGUAACAGGAAACAGCUUGCUGUUUCGCUGACGAGUGGCGGACGGGUGAGUAAUGUCUGGGAAACUGCCUGAUGGAGGGGGAUAACUACUGGAAACGGUAGCUAAUACCGCAUAACGUCGCAAGACCAAAGAGGGGGACCUUCGGGCCUCUUGCCAUCAGAUGUGCCCAGAUGGGAUUAGCUAGUAGGUGGGGUAACGGCUCACCUAGGCGACGAUCCCUAGCUGGUCUGAGAGGAUGACCAGCCACACUGGAACUGAGACACGGUCCAGACUCCUACGGGAGGCAGCAGUGGGGAAUAUUGCACAAUGGGCGCAAGCCCGAUGCAGCCAUGCCGCGUGUAUGAAGAAGGCCUUCGGGUUGUAAAGUACUUUCAGCGGGGAGGAAGGGAGUAAAGUUAAUACCUUUGCUCAUUGACGUUACCCGCAGAAGAAGCACCGGCUAACUCCGUGCCAGCAGCCGCGGUAAUACGGAGGGUGCAAGCGUUAAUCGGAAUUACUGGGCGUAAAGCGCACGCAGGCGGUUUGUUAAGUCAGAUGUGAAAUCCCCGGGCUCAACCUGGGAACUGCAUCUGAUACUGGCAAGCUUGAGUCUCGUAGAGGGGGGUAGAAUUCCAGGUGUAGCGGUGAAAUGCGUAGAGAUCUGGAGGAAUACCGGUGGCGAAGGCGGCCCCCUGGACGAAGACUGACGCUCAGGUGCGAAAGCGUGGGGAGCAAACAGGAUUAGAUACCCUGGUAGUCCACGCCGUAAACGAUGUCGACUUGGAGGUUGUGCCCUUGAGGCGUGGCUUCCGGAGCUAACGCGUUAAGUCGACCGCCUGGGGAGUACGGCCGCAAGGUUAAAACUCAAAUGAAUUGACGGGGGCCCGCACAAGCGGUGGAGCAUGUGGUUUAAUUCGAUGCAACGCGAAGAACCUUACCUGGUCUUGACAUCCACGGAAGUUUUCAGAGAUGAGAAUGUGCCUUCGGGAACCGUGAGACAGGUGCUGCAUGGCUGUCGUCAGCUCGUGUUGUGAAAUGUUGGGUUAAGUCCCGCAACGAGCGCAACCCUUAUCCUUUGUUGCCAGCGGUCCGGCCGGGAACUCAAAGGAGACUGCCAGUGAUAAACUGGAGGAAGGUGGGGAUGACGUCAAGUCAUCAUGCCCUUACGACCAGGGCUACACACGGGCUACAAUGGCGCAUACAAAGAGAAGCGACCUCGCGAGAGCAAGCGGACCUCAUAAAGUGCGUCGUAGUCCGGAUUGGAGUCUGCAACUCGACUCCAUGAAGUCGGAAUCGCUAGUAAUCGUGGAUCAGAAUGCCACGGUGAAUACGUUCCCGGGCCUUGUACACACCGCCCGUCACACCAUGGGAGUGGGUUGCAAAAGAAGUAGGUAGCUUAACCUUCGGGAGGGCGCUUACCACUUUGUGAUUCAUGACUGGGGUGAAGUCGUAACAAGGUAACCGUAGGGGAACCUGCGGUUG
rnacentral:rRNA from 1 species